CAGAUGCCGAAAUCGACACAACUAUCGUUAAGGAAGAAUAUGAUGUGAAACUUAAAAUUACGAAUGCAAUCACUCAGCCCAUGGCGCCGAAGAAAUUAACCAAGAACAUUCAUAAACUUAUCAAAAAAGCAUCAAAACACAUUAGCAUUAUUUACGAUAUGGAUUAAAGGAUGUUCAAGUGCGUCCGCGGAAUAAUGAAACAGGGAAAGCAAUGUGUAUAUUGUGUGUUGAAAUGGAGGAUUGUCAUUUUCGCUGCAGAAAAGUGGAAAUCAUGUGUCACUUGCCAUCUGUUUGUGAGAAACGCAAUAUCCCAUAUUGCUAUACGCCGAGUCGGAAGACUUGGGAGCAGCAGUGGGUGUGAAAUGAGGCACAGUCGCAAUACUAAUCCGAGAGCAGCCCGAUUAUCAGGAACAGUUCGAUAAACUAAAAGUGAAGAAUCAAUGCCGUCAACACGAAUAUACCAUUGUGCGAGUUUUUACAACACGAUAAAUUUUUAGGAGUAUUUUCAACCAUUUUUCCAAUCAAAACAAUUUAUGGUGUUACAAUCAAUCAUUUUGUAUUUUUGUUAUCAUGCCAUAUACUUAAUUAAAAUUCACUAUUGUUAUUCGUCAAGAAGGCGAAUAAUUUCAUUUUCAUAUUCGUUUUUUCAUUU